UGUAGCUCAAUGGUAAAGUGCCUGCCUCACAUGCAGGAGGACCUGGGUUUAAAUCCUAGCA
rnacentral:tRNA from 1 species